UUUGUGACCGAUCGCGACGACCGCCCGUUUUUCACGAACCGCAUGCAUGCGGUGCGGCGUGCGGCGAUGGGCGGUUUGAGCGUAAAUCGGCCCUUACAGCACUGAACAUCCCACGUCUUGGUUUGACUUCCUGGUACAGGAUACUUGCACUUAACAUGGAGUGAUGAAGCAGAGCAGUGUACUCUUAUUAAAUGCGCAGAUUUUAGCAGUAUAACAGCAAUUCAUUAAAAAAAAUCAAAUGUGUGCUGAAAAUAAAGUGUUCCUACCCACA